GCUACCCUGCUCGUAGGGCUCCAGAAAUUUUCUCUGGCUCAGGACGAACGCUGGCGGCGUGCCUAAUACAUGCAAGUCGAACGAACUCUGGUAUUGAUUGGUGCUUGCAUCAUGAUUUACAUCUGAGUGAGUGGCGAACUGGUGAGUAACACGUGUGAAACCUGCCCAGAAGCGCGGGAUAACACCUGGAAACAGAUGCUAAUACCGCAUAACAACUUGGACCGCAUGGUCCGAGCUUGAAAGAUGGCUUCGGCUAUCACUUUUGGAUGGUCUCGCGGCGUAUUAGCUAGAUGGUGGGGUAACGGCUCACCAUGGCAAUGAUACGUAGCCGACCUGAGAGGGUAAUCGGCCACAUUGGGACUGAGACACGGCCCAAACUCCUACGGGAGGCAGCAGUAGGGAAUCUUCCACAAUGGACGAAAGUCUGAUGGAGCAACGCCGCGUGAGUGAAGAAGGGUUUCGGCUCGUAAAACUCUGUUGUUAAAGAAGAACAUAUCUGAGAGUAACUGUUCAGGUAUUGACGGUAUUUAACCAGAAAGCCACGGCUAACUACGUGCCAGCAGCCGCGGUAAUACGUAGGUGGCAAGCGUUGUCCGGAUUUAUUGGGCGUAAAGCGAGCGCAGGCGGUUUUUUAAGUCUGAUGUGAAAACCUUCGGCUCAACCGAAGAAGUGCAUCGGAAACUGGGAAACUUGAGUGCAGAAGAGGACAGUGGAACUCCAUGUGUAGCGGUGAAAUGCGUAGAUAUAUGGAAGAACACCAGUGGCGAAGGCGGCUGUCUGGUCUGUAACUGACGCUGAGGCUCGAAAGUAUGGGUAGCAAACAGGAUUAGAUACCCUGGUAGUCCAUACCGUAAACGAUGAAUGCUAAGUGUUGGAGGGUUUCCGCCCUUUCAGUGCUGCAGCAUAACGCAUUAAGCAUUCCGCCUGGGGAGUACGGCCGCAAGGUUGAAACUCAAAGGAAUUGACGGGGGCCCGCACAAGCGGUGGAGCAUGUGGUUUAAUUCGAAGCUACGCGAAGAACCUUACCAGGUCUUGACAUACUAUGCAAAUCUAAGAGAUUAGACGUUCCCUUCGGGGACAUGGAUACAGGUGGUGCAUGGUUGUCGUCAGCUCGUGUCGUGAGAUGUUGGGUUAAGUCCCGCAACGAGCGCAACCCUUAUUAUCAGUUGCCAGCAUUAAGUUGGGCACUCUGGUGAGACUGCCGGUGACAAACCGGAGAAAGGUGGGGAUGACGUCAAAUCAUCAUGCCCCUUAUGACCUGGGCUACACACGUGCUACAAUGGAUGGUACAACGAGUUGCGAACUCGCGAGAGUAAGCUAAUCUCUUAAAGCCAUUCUCAGUUCGGAUUGUAGGCUGCAACUCGCCUACAUGAAGUCGGAAUCGCUAGUAAUCGCGGAUCAGCAUGCCGCGGUGAAUACGUUCCCGGGCCUUGUACACACCGCCCGUCACACCAUGAGAGUUUGUAACACCCAAAGUCGGUGGGGUAACCUUUUAGGAACCAGCCGCCUAAGGUGGGACAGAUGAUUAGGGUGAAGUCGUAUCAGGGGUAACCGAA
rnacentral:rRNA from 1 species